UAACACGUGGGUAACCUGCCCUAUAAACUGGGACAACAGUUGGAAACGACUGCUAAUACCGGAUAUUCUCAUUGGAAGGCAUCUUUUGAUGAGGAAAGGUGGCCUCUGACAUAAGCUACCGAUAUAGGAUGGACCCGCGUCUGAUUAGCUAGUUGGUGGGGUAACGGCCUACCAAGGCGACGAUCAGUAGCCGGCCUGAGAGGGUGACCGGCCACAUUGGGACUGAGACACGGCCCAAACUCCUACGGGAGGCAGCAGUGGGGAAUCUUCCGCAAUGGGCGCAAGCCUGACGGAGCAACGCCGCGUGAAUGAAGAAGGUCUUCGGAUCGUAAAGUUCUGUCUUUAGGGAAGAAGUCUUAUCUUGUGAAUAAUGAGAUGAGGUGACGGUACCUUAGGAGGAAGCUCCGGCUAACUACGUGCCAGCAGCCGCGGUAAUACGUAGGGAGCGAGCGUUGUCCGGAAUUACUGGGCGUAAAGGGCGCGUAGGCGGGGACUUAAGUUAGGUGUGAAAACUUCGGGCUUAACCUGAAGACUGCACUUAAAACUGGGUUUCUUGAGGGCAGGAGAGGAAAGUGGAAUUCCUAGUGUAGCGGUGAAAUGCGUAGAUAUUAGGAGGAACACCAGUGGCGAAGGCGACUUUCUGGACUGUACCUGACGCUGAGGCGCGAAAGCAUGGGGAGCGAACAGGAUUAGAUACCCUGGUAGU
rnacentral:rRNA from 1 species